UGGGGAACUUUUGGACAAUGGGCGAAAGCCUGAUCCAGCAAUGCCGCGUGUGUGAAGAAGGCCUUCGGGUUGUAAAGCACUUUUGUCCGGAAAGAAAUCCUUGGCUCUAAUACAGUCGGGGGAUGACGGUACCGGAAGAAUAAGCACCGGCUAACUACGUGCCAGCAGCCGCGGUAAUACGUAGGGUGCAAGCGUUAAUCGGAAUUACUGGGCGUAAAGCGUGCGCAGGCGGUUUGCUAAGACCGAUGUGAAAUCCCCGGGCUCAACCUGGGAACUGCAUUGGUGACUGGCAGGCUAGAGUAUGGCAGAGGGGGGUAGAAUUCCACGUGUAGCAGUGAAAUGCGUAGAGAUGUGGAGGAAUACCGAUGGCGAAGGCAGCCCCCUGGGCCAAUACUGACGCUCAUGCACGAAAGCGUGGGGAGCAAACAGGAUUAGAUACCCUGGUAGUCCACGCCCUAAACGAUGUCAACUAGUUGUUGGGGAUUCAUUUCCUUAGUAACGUAGCUAACGCGUGAAGUUGACCGCCUGGGGAGUACGGUCGCAAGAUUAAAACUCAAGGAAUUGACGGGGUCAUAGCUGUUUCCU
rnacentral:rRNA from 1 species